rnacentral:rRNA from 1 species
CGUGUAGGCGGCCAAUCAAGUUGGGUGUGAAAGCCCUCGGCUCAACCGAGGAAUUGCACCCGAUACUGAUUGGCUAGAGUCCGGGAGGGGGUAGCGGAAUUCCCAGUGUAGCGGUGAAAUGCGUAGAUAUUGGGAAGAACACCAGUGGCGAAGGCGGCUACCUGGACCGGAACUGACGCUGAGGCGCGAAAGCUAGGGGAGCGAAUG